UUUUUUAAUUAUUUAUAUAUUGUACAAUAUUGACCCCAAGUUGGAGUUUGGGUUUCUCUCGGGUGGUUGACUUGGUUCGAUAUUUGGGAAUGCCAGUUUUUAAUGGACGAGUUUCAACUGAAACCUUUCAUUUUAUAGUUGAUAAGAUUCGUACAAAGCUGACUAGCUGGAAUGAUAAGCGGUAAUCCAUGGUAGGAAGAAUCACCUUGACCGAAUAGGAAUUGUUUCGUGGAAGCCUGCGUUGGUGAGCUGGUAUAGGUGUUAUGCGCCUCUUGAGAAUGGAGGUUUGGGGAUACAGCAUAUGGGUGACCAGAACAAGGUAUUUUCGCUUAAGCAAGGCUUUGGCAUUGUUACUAAUGUUAAUGUUCUGUGGGUUCAGGUUUUACGGGCUAAGUGGUCGAUAGGUAUUGCGGGCAUUAAGUGGUCGAUAGGUAGUGGACGUUUGGUCAACUUGUGGAAUGAUUCGUGGCUUGACGAUGUUGGCCCGCUGAAGCAGUUCUAUACCGUGGUGCUCCUUUAGAAGACUGCACUCUGGUUCGGCACCUGGUUACCUGUGGAGGUGAGUGGUUGUGGGAAACGCUUGAACAAGUGCUCACUCAUCAUAUCGCCGCUCGGAUAGUUGGUGUUUUUCUUCCCUCUUAUAGUGCUUCGAAGGAUAGGUUAAUGUGGAGGUGGUCCUCCGAUCCGCUUCUGCAACUUUUCAAUAGAUUACAGUGUAUAAAUGUCUUGAUGGUAGUGCGGAUUGGUCCUUGGUCUGGCAAAAUGAUGCGCCACGUAUCCCCUUGCAGCUACUCUCUUAAUUGCACCUUCAGCUCCUCUCUUCAGGGAUUUAAAUUGCGGUCGCAGUCGCGUUUUCGGUCGCGUCGCGUUUGUCGCGGUCGCGGACAUAACGGACGCUAUUGCGGUCACUGCGGAUAUCGCGGUCUUGAAUUUUUUUAAAAUUCGCACAACUUAUUAUAAAAUAUAGCAAUUAUAAUUAUAAUUAUAAAAAGUCAUUUUUAAU